GCUGAUAUCGAUAAAAUAAAAACAAGCAUGCAAAAGAAAUAAAAUUUUAUACUUUCACCAAAAUAAAAAAGUGGCACUUUGGUGUUCUCUAUAAGACCCCAAGAUAGAAGUCCUCCAAUGGUGAUCCAUACGGAAGUUGGCCAAGGUUCUUCCCAACUAGUGCACUGCCACAGCCUUGUCUUUUCAAGAACAUUGUUGGCUUCAAACUUGCGUUAUGAUCGUACCUGUUGGGUAUAAAAUACCCACAGCCGAAGUCCUCAAC
rnacentral:lncRNA from 1 species